rnacentral:rRNA from 1 species
GGAUGCGAUCAUACCAGCACUAAAGCAUCGGAUCCCAUCAGAACUCCGAAGAUAAGCGUGCUUGGGCGAGAGUUGUACUAGGAUGGGUGACCUCCUGGGAAGUCCUCGUGUUGCAUUCC